rnacentral:lncRNA from 1 species
AUAAUCAUCAGGACCUCCUCCGAAGAUUGUUGCUCUCGAAGGGUACCCUAGCUUCUCAGCAAAGUUCUACGUCUCAGCAAUUAGCUCGGCAUUCAUUGUCUUGCUCGCUAAGUGAUGAUCACAUAUUGAUCAUUGAUGUUGCUUGGCUUUGAAGGACCCUCUUUUGUGGGAACAUGAGAGCACCUAGAGGGAAGGGGGUGAACACGUGAUCAUGCAAAUCAACACUAAAACAUAAACUUUGUCUAAAAAUGAAAUUAUUGCGAGCUAAACCAAGUUUCAAUAUAAAGAAGAAGAAAGCAAGUCCUCUUCGCUUGAUUGCUCUUUCAAGAUAUAGAAUAGAUUAAGAUCAAUAUUACAAAUGAAUUUGAGAGACUUAGGAAGAGAGAGAAAAAUCACAAGCAAAUAAGCACACAAAAUUUCCCAUGGUUAGGUCAAGCAUAAAAUGAUUGCCUUCUUCACAUUGUGGUGUCCCAAUGGACAAGGGUUGCACUCAACUCUGUUAGAAUUGUAUUAGGGUUUGUGAGUCUUCCCUGUGUAUUUACCCUCUCGCCCCUCUGUAAUGGGCCAGGCCCAACACCCAACCUAUUAAUACAAUCCCCACCCUAUUCUAGGUUUAGGGGUUUUCCCAUAAUUCUACAAACCCUUCUCAAGUGAUCCAAAGAUUAAGGGAAUGUUUGAAUGCACUAGAGCUAAUAGUUAGUGGCUAAAAUUAGUUGAGAUAUCCAAACACACUACCUAAUAGUUCAGCUAUUAGCAAUUUUUGGUAAAUUAGUUAAUAGUUAGGUAGCUAUUUGUUAGCUAUCUAAUUCCACUAACAGUUUUUAGCCAACUAAUUAUUAGUUCUAGUGCAUUCAAACACCCCCUAAACCUGAGUGCCAUAGUUCUUCCUUAUAUCAAGAUUAUCCCGUUCAUAAGAAUCUCCACAAGUUGGAAUCUCUUGCAGCCUUAUAAAAGAUAAGAGUCACAUAUCAGAGUAAGGGAUGGAGGGAGUACAAGCACAAAAGAUCAAAACCAACAACUCAACAAAAAAGAGAGAAACACAAGCGCAUAGUACACAAAGUAUGAAUGACAACACUAAGAUGGCGCUCGGAUCUCACUAGAAUCGCACGGUUGAGUUUUAGCAGAGUGUCGGAGUGUUGAGAGUCUCUUG